UCCCUGGUCGUCUUGUGGUUAGAACUUGGCGCUUCUACUUCUGGGGCCCAGGUUCGAUUCCUGGUCAGAGAA
rnacentral:tRNA from 1 species